AUUUUUGUAAACUUCAGGGUCCAUGCCAUCCAGCUAUGGGGUCAUUUGCUUGUCCGGCUUUCGGUUGAAUAAACCUCCUGGGCUGCCGGACUAUCAAGGCCUGUCCUUUCUAAGCCAUGAAGAGAGCCUUACCUUUUGCAAAUUAUGUUUGUGAAAAUGCCAACAAUGAAAGCUACUCAGUUCCAAUGAUUUUGAGGAUAUUGAAAAUCAUGAACCCUUGGAUGAUGAAAUACCCUGCACUUAUUGUCCCUGUUUUCACGAAGUGACGGAUACGAGGAAAAUCGAAUUUUUUCAAUUUUGAGUUUUUUGCAUUUUUGGAGAUCUUUAAUUCAUAUCUCGAAUUUCAACAAGUUUCAGAUCACAAAAAUGUCUAAUUACGUUGCUAUGACAAUAGUGCACACACGAAAAUACCCAGAUUAAGGAUUUCUUGUUUUUACGAAGUGACGGAUAAGCAGCCGCCAAUUCGUGAAAAUAAACGAAUACGCUUUAUCACUCAAGAGUUUUUUCACCAAAAAUGACGGAUGAGGCUUUGCACGAAGUCCGUCAAUUCGUGAAAUUGUCGCCUGCUCAUUUGUGCCAAUUAUUUGUUUCACGAAGUGACGGAAGGCAAAUAUUUACAGUUUGGAACAGCCGAAGACCAUGAAAUGAUGGAGUAUAUACAGUAAGCAAUGUUUCAGAGAACAAAUGAGAAAAGGCCUGGAACUGGUACACUCACUUUUUAACAACGCUGAUGGUCAGAUACAAUUUCAGGUUGGAUCCAGAGGCCGAUGUGCUUGUCAGAUGGGUCAUUGAUAAUUCCCUGAACACUGCAGAUGUGAUCUGAUUGGUUACAUAACAGUUGAAUUGGUAGUGACUGGAUUUUAACAGUGUGAUCUGGUUUUGAAUUGUUGAAGUAACCAAAGUAGAAACAUCUUCUGAGAACUCUGACUGCAAUUCUGAUGAUGAAAUUCUGUCUACACUUGUGAAAAGUGUGAAGGAGUUGGCUCUGCAUCAUGGCCUUUCAGGGCUCCCACUUAACUUUUUCUUUAGGUUCCAACUGGGUAACUGAUACCAGUUUCAAUUUUCUUGUGAUUUUGACUUCAACAUGAGUUUAGUUUUAAUUUUGAUAGGAUUUUCAAAUCUGGUUUCAUUUUAGAGCAGUGUAUUAUAUAAGGAAACUAUACUGCUUGAACUAGUCUGUGCUCUUACAGUGAUAUAGUUAUGAACUACUUCAAAUAUAUUUUAUAUAUACAGUCAGAUAUAAAGUUCAGAAUAGUCAUUUAUCUGCUAUACUUACCACAUGUUUAAAUUGGUUAUACACAUCGUCCACAUAUGGAUGCAGAAAAAUUACCCUCUUUUUUUGUGUGUUUUGCUUGGUGCCAUCUUAAAACAGAAAUACUGCAUAUUUCUACAUUUUUUUUAACAGAAUGUCACUAGCUUUAUUGUGCUUAAAUGUUAAAACUUCAUACUCUCUAAUAAUAAAGAUAACCAUACAAUUUAGAUUGACAUGCAUUGUGAAACUCGAUUGUUACAGGAUAUAUUACAAGUAAGGAUGUAGGUUGAAAAUUAGAUCAGGUUUUCAUGAAUUCAUUUUCAUAAGCCAGAUGUGUUAAUACAGCCCCCCCCCCCCCCUUUUCCAUGAGUUAAAGUUUUAUUGGUUUAUCAGGGGUGUGAGAAUUCUUAAGCUGAUUUCAGCUAUUUUUGCUUUUUAUUUUCAGCUUUGAGAGCUCAUUCGAUUUGAUCCCCCAACUCUCUCCACCAUUUUCAGGUCUUUAUUUGUCAUCACUCACACACCUGGUUUAUGCAGUUUUACAGUUGGUGUAUCAUCAUUUUAUUCCAGAAUACCUUAAUGAAUGAUAUUCUGGAAAAAAAGAAUACAUGAUUAUUUUUAGCAGACAUUUUACAUUAGCUUGAGGUUAAAGAUACACUGCAGCACAUGUUUUUUUCUGUCUAUUUGUAGUAAGAAUUUCACUUAGUUGGAACUAAGGUGUAUUUUAAUGUAUCUUCCAGUUUUUGGACUCGGGCAAAAUUUUGCCAUGAAAAAGCAAGUGUUUGAUUGGAAAAUGUAUUGAUGAGUGUAUUUAGCCAAUAACUUGAGAAUGAUGGAAAAAUACAAAUCUACUGUAAUAGUCAUUCGUAUUUUUAUCAUUGCAUUUUUUGCUUUUGAUGCUGUCUUUCGGGAUUUUGAUUAUAAAUUUGUUAAUUAAUGAUCCUGUUUGAUAUGAAGUUAAAUUGUUGAUUUAAAAUUAUAUUCCUUGUGUGACUUUCAUUAGUUGAUAAUUGUUUAUUCGAAGGUUUACAUGUUUCCUUUGGUAAAGAUUAGCUUUUAGCACUAGUAGACUUUUUAGUAUUUGACAGUGUGUAAAAAGAUGAAAUAACUCUCAAGGCAAUUGUGUCGACCGAUUUAAUUAUGACAUUGUUUUCAUUAAAAAAAUGCCCAAGUGUAGUGAAUGUAAUAAGUAAUGGUGAUUAUAUUACUUCUAUUUUGAUGGAAAAGAAAUAUACCAUUUUACUUGUAUGUGUAUGUCAAUACAAAUAGACAUUAAAGAAUACAACUUUCCUGCACCACUAACAUUGAUUAUAUUCCAGUAUUCAUUUGUCAUUGGAAUGUUUUGAAUGUAGAAUAAUUUAUUGAAUUUGGUACUUGUUAGCAAUUCUGUAUUUCAAAAUGUGGCAUUCACAGACUAGGAUUGCUGAUUGUGUUAAGCAGGGCAUGAUAAAAUAUAUUGUUGCAUAUAUUCAAGUUUUAUUUAAUGUAUAAAAUGACAAAAUUCUGUCAUUGUGUACCUGAUGAAUCAUUUCCUAUGCAUUUCACAGUGCAAUAUUAGAUUCAUUAUAAUAAUUAUGAAUUUCAAUGUGUUUGUCACUAGCGAUUAUGGUCCUAUAUAAUAUAGAAUUAAAAAAUAUCAAAAAUAUAUUUCCAUUGUUAACAUUGUAUGGAGUUGAUAUUUUAAUGAAUUUAUUAAGCAUAACUUUUAUCAAAUUGAUUGUUAUGAAAAAAAAAUUAUAUUUCAUUUGUCUAUUUGUCAUUUAGUCACUUAUAUUUGAAAAUAUUCUGUUGAUUCAUAGUAAUCCCCAAAGUAUUAAUGAUUGUAUAUUUUUUCAUGCUUUGUGUAUUUGUAUAAUUCUAUUUUGAUAAUGUUAUGUUUCAUAUUUUUUUUAAUGUAAAAGUUCUGUACAAUUCAGCUCUUGCUGCGAACAGUCUUGAAAUAAAAUACCAUUAUUAUCAUUUGCUGCUAUGGUUUCAUGUUAUAGAAUUAAAGGUGUUCUUCUAUAUUUUA